AGCACAUGACCUUCAUGUGGUUGAUCAGCAUCAGAUUUGCUUUACACAGUGCUGUCUUUAAUGACUUCUUCCUUUUUGGUACUUUUACCUCUGAAGUUACUCCAUUCACCCAACCACCAUCCCUCUUUUAACACAUUCAACCAAUCUUAAGCUCAUUCAAUAUUGGUCCCUUCCAAUCCCUUCACAUCAUCUCCACUUGCCUCUCCAACCCCACAUCACAUCUCAUCGAUGGCUCCGUUGCCACCUCUCUUUAGCUUUGUUUUUCUUCUGGCUGAUACUUUGCUUUACCUGCUUCUUUCCAGCUGUUCCCAUAUUCUCUGAUGCUCUCAUCUCUCAAGGUACUUGUCUACAGUCAUUCAUUGCCCAAACUCUUAGCUCUUUCCUCUCUGUGCCUUCUAUUUACCAGCUCGAGGUCUUCCUAUCAUCUCAUUCUUCUUCCAACCUGCUCUAGUACCUUCAUUUCCCUUCACAAGUUUCUAUUUCAAGAAGACUCUUUGGAUUUUCUUCUGUCAUGUAAAAUUAGAAACACAGGUUGUGGAGAAGACUCCCAUUUUGACUCAAGUAGCAAAGACUACUAUUCCCCCUGUGUUCCUAACCUUGGACAUUACCAGGAAGCCAUCUCCUGUUAUAUGCUCUCCUCGAUUUUGGAUUUAAGAUUAUUGUACAGCUUCCUUUAAAUUUUCUUUCACUCUUCCUGUGUUGUCUCUCUCAGUGACUUCCUGUGUUUCCUCUUCCAGUCUCUACUUUAAGUUCUGCAACCUUCUCUGUUAUUUCGCUACCUAAAAAAUGAGGUGUUUUUCUCCCACAAGUAAGAAAUUUGGUCAAUUAACCACAACCCUGUAUUGUUUGACAACAAAAAAAUAAUCCAGAAUGACAAGAUCAUAUGCAUCAUUACAGUAAGAAGAGUUUCAACUUUAUUCAGUUUCCUCACAAAUGCACUGUGCUGUACUCUUCACAAGCACAUAACAUAUGUGCUCUCUUACAAUAUACACUACAGAAAAACAUUUAAAGAAAAGUUCAAUAACAGCAGCUUGAUAUUCACCAUAAUGAUGAUAGAACAUCACAUGAAAAUUUUAUAUUUAUUAGAUUAUGGGUUAAUAACACUGAGGUAUAAAAGUAAUAUGAUAAAAUAGAUAAAAAGAAUAAAAACCUCAGAGAAAUAUAUAUAUGAACACAAACAUGUUAUAACACUCAUUACAAAACUAAUAAGGAAAAACAAAUUUCCAAACAAUAUCUAUCUCAGAACUAUUUAAAAUAAACAGUGUUCAAAAUAAAUGACAUUUAUCACAUGUACUAAAACUGUGACAAUCAUAUAAAUAAAUCAUCUUCAUGCUUGGUAUCCUUAAGGGAUAUGUGACCCAAGAUGAAUUAAAAGGAGAGGUAAAAAGAGAAUUUACAGGGGGAGAGAGA
rnacentral:lncRNA from 1 species